CCUUAAUGCAACUUCAGGAACACACAUUUAUUUCGAUAAGGAGACUAAUGUUAGGAGAGGUCCUCUUCUACAAACACUGGGCUUCAGUCAGUAGCUCCGCUUCUGAAAGGAUAUGCCACGGUUGAGAAUCUGACCAUAUCCGAGCUUAAUGAGUUUGUCAUAGCUGCACUGUCUCAGGACAUCGAUUUCAUGUGUUCUGGGAAAGUG